CAGCUGAAGUAAUGAGGGUGGGGUGCACCUUUCAUUUCAAUGCAGACCAUAUAGAACUCAACAUGCAAUUUAACUCCUGAGUAUGCUUGUAUGCUCUCCGUUUUGUUACAUUUUCAUGGUUUCAUUUUAAGUUUAGUCUUUAUAGUGCAGAGAAAUGAAUAAAUAUGAUCAGUUCCUCAAUGUGGUUCCCAAUUACGACGCCAAAAUGGGCACCCGAACGCACCUCGGCAGCUCUUACCGGAGCUAUGAGAGUCGCUGCCCAAACACGGACCUUUGUUUUUGAAGUUUUGAACUACCAACGUGCUUCUACAAACCGAGACGCUGCAGCUAAUCAGACAAGCCGAGAGGACGCCGGAGAUGAAGAGCAGGUCGCGGGGGGUGCUGGAGCCUAUCCCAGCUGUCUUCGGGCGAGAGGCGGGGUACACCCUGGACUGGUUGCCUGCCAAUCACAGG